GGGGAUAGGGCUCAGUGGUAGGGUACCUGCCAGGUAUGCAUGAGGCCUUGGGUUCAAACCCCAGUACCUCAA
rnacentral:tRNA from 1 species